rnacentral:rRNA from 1 species
UACGAGGGGUGCAAGCGUUGCUCGGAAUUAUUGGGCGUAAAGGGUAGGUAGGUGGUCUCAUUUGUCUGGGGUGAAAGCCUUGAGCUUAACUCAAGAAGUGCCCCGGAAACGGUGAGACUAGAGUUCUGGAGAGGGUCGUGGAAUUCCCGGUGUAGCGGUGAAAUGCGUAGAGAUCGGGAGGAACACCAGAGGCGAAGGCGGCGACCUGGACAGAUACUGACACUCAACUACGAAAGCGUGGGGAGCAAACAGG